GAUGGGCAUGCGUGACAUUAGUUAGUUGGCGGGGUAACGGCCCACCAAGGCGACGAUGUCUAGGGGGCCUGAGAGGGUAGACCCCCACACUGGUACUGAGACACGGACCAGACUCCUACGGGAGGCAGCAGUGAGGAAUAUUGCGCAAUGGACGAAAGUCUGACACAGCCAUGCCGCGUGCAGGAUGACGGCCCUAUGGGUUGUAAACUGCUUUUGUACAGGAAGAAACUUUUGAACGUGUUCAGGAUUGACGGUACUGUAUGAAUAAGCAUCGGCUAACUCCGUGCCAGCAGCCGCGGUAAUACGGAGGAUGCAAGCGUUAUCCGGAUUUAUUGGGUUUAAAGGGUGCGUAGGCGGGGAAAUAAGUCAGUGGUGAAAUCCUGCAGCUUAACUGUAGAAUUGCCAUUGAUACUGUUUUUCUUGAGUGCGGCUGAGGUAGGCGGAAUGUGUAAUGUAGCGGUGAAAUGCUUAGAUAUUACACAGAACACCGAUUGCGUAGGCAGCUUACUAAGCCGUAACUGACGCUGAGGCACGAAAGCGUGGGGAUCGAACAGGAUUAGAU
rnacentral:rRNA from 1 species